GGGGAUUUAGCUCAGUGGUAGAGCGUUUGCCUAGCAAGCACAAGGCCCUGGGUUCGGUCCCCAGCUCUG
rfam:Rattus norvegicus chromosome 20, whole genome shotgun sequence.